UUAGACGGGCCUGCGCGGCCGCCGUAGUCUCAGACUACUCUGCGCCGGAAGCCCAGCCACCCUGCUUCCUGGUUCUUGCGCAUCUUUAGUUCCCUCGCUACCCCGACCCUGACUUCGUGCUUGCAGCUGCCGAAGUCUUUCUAGACUAGUUGGUCCCAUCUCGCGUCCUCCUGAUUCGGCCCUGACCCUGCCUGUAACUCAGCAGAGGACCGCGGAUCUCAUUUCCGCCACCACGAUGUACUUCCGGGAUCUCCGGAAGCGGCCCGUUGCCACGGCGACUGUGUACACAGCCCGGCAGCGGCGCGUGCCGGUUUUGGGUCUCUGCUCACGCAGCGGUCGCGCUGCUGGAGGGCUCCUGCCUCCCGAGCGUAGUGACUGAAGAUGGACCUACAUGUGGAGAUUCAGCCACCCUCUGACUUCCAGCCAUGACCAUGACCAUCACCACCAAUCACCAUUUUCUUGAGCACCUGCCCUGUGCUGGGCAUUGUUCUGGACUUUGAGGGGGGAUUCAAAAGAGAUAAAAGGCACAGUCCUGCCCCUUAAGCUGCUUAUAAUUUAAUUUGGGAGCUGAAACCCACUCAUAUGAUGCGGCGUAAGAACGGUGACAAGCGUUAUUUCAGUAAGUGCAAGAUGGCAUGGGGUCCCCAAAUGUCUGGGUGUUGAGGGACCACUGGGUAGGGAACUCACAGGAGGGAUGCAGUUAACAGAGAGGGCUUGCCUUAGGUGGAUAUGGCUCGUGGCACAGGUGGAGCCAUGGGUGUAAGCAUGGGGAGGGCCUUGGGAAGCACAGGUAGGAUGAUUGCAUGUGCAUGUGCAUGUUGGCAAAGUGCUGGGCAGAAAAGGGACAGGCUCUGAGGGGAGGGCUUUUCUUGGAACUGGCCUGUGCUGACCUUGGGCUGUCAGUGGGUAGGGGCCGCUGGGAGGGAGGCUUGGACAUCCGCCCCUAGAGCUGCCCUUCAUGGUCCCUGGGCAGCAUCUUAGCUUUCCUGGGCAGCAGGAUGAGCCCUCGGACUGGUUUGGGGAAUGGUUCCCAGAGCUUUAGAGAUGGAGUGUAAAUGUUUGCUUGAGUCCAAACACACCUCCCCCCUACUCUCCAUUUUCCAAUAGCCUAGAUCAAAGUGAUCUUGAAGAUGAGAUACUCUCUUCAGUUUCCUCAGUUGGGGAGUCAUGUUAGAGCUAUAUGUGACUUUGUAUUUCUAGAGCUCAAUUCUGCAAACAAAAACUUUAGAACUGAAAUUGGACAAGCC
rnacentral:lncRNA from 1 species